AGGCGGUUAGCUCAGUUGGUUAGAGCGCCACGUUGACAUCGUGGAGGUCACCAGUUCGAAUCUGGUAUCGCCUA
rnacentral:tRNA from 1 species